rnacentral:lncRNA from 1 species
CACUCUUCUGUGAUUCUGCUUUAUGGCCAAUCUGACCACCCUGGAAGAGCCACCCUGUGGAUGUAAGGAAUGUCUGGCAUACUCAAAGGACAUUUGGAAAUAGGAUGUCAACGGUCCUAUGAAAUUGUUGCACCUGUGUUUCACUGAUUAGUUGGAAGCUGAGAAGGUACAAGAGGCAUCAAAAGUAGCGCAGACCACAGCCGAGAGGUAAAUCUGAGCGGUUACAGAUCCUAAC